CUGGCCCUGAAUCAAGGCCAGCAGCUUCCUGACGCUGUUGGUUUCAAGCAGGAGCCUGAAGACAUGUCUUUCUAUGGUCUGUUGGCUUUUUCAGAAUUGGGCAGUGUAUGGUCAAUUCAUUAGAAACAAAGCAAC
ensembl:snoRNA small nucleolar RNA SNORA2/SNORA34 family